rnacentral:rRNA from 1 species
GACGAACGCUGGCGGCGUGCCUAAUACAUGCAAGUAGAACGCACAGUUUAUACCGUAGCUUGCUACACCAUAGACUGUGAGUUGCGAACGGGUGAGUAACGCGUAGGUAACCUGCCUGGUAGCGGGGGAUAACUAUUGGAAACGAUAGCUAAUACCGCAUAAUAUUAAUUAUUGCAUGAUAAUUAAUUGAAAGGUGCAAUUGCACCACUACCAGAUGGACCUGCGUUGUAUUAGCUAGUAGGUGAGGUAACGGCUCACCUAGGCGACGAUACAUAGCCGACCGGAGAGGGUGAUCGGCCACACUGGGACUGAGACACGGCCCAGACUCCUACGGGAGGCAGCAGUAGGGAAUCUUCGGCAAUGGACGAAAGUCUGACCGAGCAACGCCGCGUGAGUGAAGAAGGUUUUCGGAUCGUAAAGCUCUGCUGUAAGAGAAGAACGGGUGUGAGAGUGGAAAGUUCACACUGUGACGGUAUCUUACCAGAAAGGGACGGCUAACUACGUG